rnacentral:rRNA from 1 species
UGGGGAAUAUUGCACAAUGGGCGCAAGCCUGAUGCAGCCAUGCCGCGUGUAUGAAGAAGGCCUUCGGGUUGUAAAGUACUUUCAGCGGGGAGGAAGGCGAUAAGGUUAAUAACCUUGUCGAUUGACGUUACCCGCAGAAGAAGCACCGGCUAACUCCGUGCCAGCAGCCGCGGUAAUACGGAGGGUGCAAGCGUUAAUCGGAAUUACUGGGCGUAAAGCGCACGCAGGCGGUCUGUCAAGUCGGAUGUGAAAUCCCCGGGCUCAACCUGGGAACUGCAUUCGAAACUGGCAGGCUAGAGUCUUGUAGAGGGGGGUAGAAUUCCAGGUGUAGCGGUGAAAUGCGUAGAGAUCUGGAGGAAUACCGGUGGCGAAGGCGGCCCCCUGGACAAAGACUGACGCUCAGGUGCGAAAGCGCGGGGAGCAAACA